rfam:Thauera sp. 27 Cont28, whole genome shotgun sequence.
CGGUAGCUGGCUCCACCGGGCUCAACAGAGCCGAAUCCAGCCUUGCGAGUCCGUCCAGGACUUACAAAACACAUAGGG